UCCAAAGCAAGGGUCAGCACAGGGAGGGUUGCUCGAGUUGUCGGCAUCUCCAUUUUCUUCUGCCUAUUUCAGGGAUCAGAAAUUGAAUGGUUCCUCAUUUUCAGUUUGAUCUUUAUUUGGCGUCCUUCCCUUCCAUUGGAAACAGCUACUUCUCAUUUGUUGGGGGCUGUAACCAUUUUGUUGGAAGAGAAGGUGAAGGUCAUUUUGAAUGCAAAAGACGAUCUCAGGAAGCUGGAAUGCUUUCAGAAGGUAAUCAAAGAGGUAGAAAGCAAGCCCCUUUUCAGCAAUGACCGCGACAAAGAUCGAGAGUGAGCUCAAGGAUGCCUUUUACGAUGCCCAGGACAUUCGGCUUAGCAAAAGGGAGAAGGAUUCGGCAUUAAAUAGAAAGAAAUUGAUUGAUCUGGUCAAAUUGAAUUUUGGGCUGGGCUCACAAUGUUCAGGCUAAAGUGCCUGUUGAUGACUGCCAAAGUGUUCCAUAUAUGAUGGUUGAUGUGCAGUAACUUUAUCCGGAUCUCCUGGUAUCAUCUUCCCAAAAUGUGGCAGAGAAAUGAUUGCCGAUGUAUUUCUAGAUCACUCAAACUUAUGCCAAGCCACCUUCAAGGUUUGGAGCUGGAACUGUUACAAAGGGCAUUUAUUGGGCUUGGUGCAGCAAUUGAUAAUCUCUGCAGUUAGAGCGGGCUCAUCUCUACCACAGCCUUCACCCUGUCCCGAACAUUCACAUCUACAACCCUGUUCCUUCAGAAACUGUCGAGAUCGAUGAAGAGCACUUUCUUUAUAGAGGUCGGGAUUGGAUUUGCCUGGGAUGCUUGUUCAUUUCCCCAUGGAUGGCAUGCAAUGAGCCAUAGGCUCAGGCCAUCACAAUGCUUGGUGGCCAGCAGCCUAACCAAAUGAGGCCAAUGCCUUCUGGGUGCACGAAUUUGUGCUCAGUGAGCAUGGGAUAUGAUUUGAAGGAUUUGAUAAUACCCUUGUUGACAGCUGUGUUCUAGUAAAGGUUUGCUGCGCUUGCAAACACCGGAUCUGGACUCAUUCAGCCUCACGUCCCAAGUAUAGGAAAGUAUGAGGGUGCCCAAGUGCCAGUAGAUCUUAUUGGCUUUCAAUUAAUGAGGCAAACUCCUACUUGAUCAUCUUGAUUGACCAGGACUCCAUGAAGUUCUUAAAUUUUCAAUUAUGGGCAUUUGACCAUUGUCAUCACCGCGAAGGGGAGAAAUCGAGAGGGGAACUGAAAGGGCAUCGACGAACAAUGAAGGGCGAGUUGAAGGAGAUUCCUGCAGAUCUCGACAAUCCCAAUGGUGUGGUCUCCGAUACAGAUCAUCAUGAACGUAUCAGGAAGGUAACCCAUUUCUGUUAGCUUCUGCAUGUGAUUUAUGAUCAUGGUAUCUCUCUCUAGAUUGAAGAACCGAUUGCUUAGGUUCAUGACAACAUUUUCUUUGUCCACAUGGAGAAUUUUCCCUGUUAAGUUGCGUCGAUUGGACGACGGUAGAGCGUUACUAUCCUGAUCUUGAUUCUGCUGCAAACUUUCGUGAAAUUUUCAUGAGUCUAUGGAAAUUGCUUGCGCAUUAAGGAUAUAGACAUCCUUGGAAGUGAAUCAUCCAAUGCAGAGCUUACAUAAGAAUUGUGCGUAACCUCCACCACCAGGAUGAGGAGGGUGAGAAGGGUGAGAAGGAGGAAGAAGAAGUUAGAAGAAGCGACCCAAGAGGGGAAUAGAUGAUUCUAGAGAAUCUGAUGGUGUCGACCAUUUCGAAGAGGAAUAAGAAGCAGCAAAGGCACUUGACUCUGAUGAAUCUGAAUGCAGCAAUGACUAGGAAGAGGAGGAAGAAGAGGUGGAUGAAACAGAGGACACCACUGAUUCUAACGAAUCCGAAAAAUCUGAAGACAGUGAAGAGGCGGAAGGCGGAGAACAAGAGAUUAAGGGGAAAUUGAUAAUUGGGUGUCGCCAGAGCAAGUGACUAAGGAAAAGUGCCACCAUACUCUAAAGAGGAACGACUUGAUGGUAUUUGGAGAUGACACAGAAAAACGUUUCACAGUAGAGAGACAGAUGGUUUCGUUGCAACUUUCCCUUAUAUUUUCCUAUUGGUUAUUUUGCUUGGUGCUUGCACAGUACAAUAGAGUAAUUUUUGAAUUUCUUCUUUCUUCUUGAGGA